CGAGUCGAGUUGUUUGGGAAUGCAGCUCAAAAUGGGUGGUAAAUUUCAUCUAAAGCUAAAUAUGGGCCAGAGACCGAUAGCGCACAAGUAGAGUGAUCGAAAGAUGAAAAGCACUUUGGAAAGAGAGUUAAACAGUACGUGAAAUUGUUGAAAGGGAAGCGCUUGCAACCAGACUUGGGCGCUGCCGAUCACCUUGAGUUUUCUCGAGUGCACUCGACAGCGCACAGGCCAGCAUCGGUUCGGGUGGCUGGAUAAAGGCCGUAGGAAUGUGGCUCUCUUCGGGGAGUGUUAUAGCCUACGGUGCCAUGCAGCCCAGCCGGACCGAGGACCGCGCCUUCGGGCUAGGAUGCUGGCGUAAUGGUUGUAAGCGACCCGUCUUGAAACACGGACCAAGGAGUCUAACAUCUAUGCGAGUGUUUGGGUGGUAAACCCAUACGCGGAAUGAAAGUGAACGUAGGUGAGAACCCCUUUGGGGCGCAUCAUCGACCGAUCCUGAUGUCUUCGGAUGGAUUUGAGUAAGAGCAUAGCUGUUGGGACCCGAAAGAUGGUGAACUAUGCCUGAAUAGGGUGAAGCCAGAGGAAACUCUGGUGGAGGCUCGCAGCGGUUCUGACGUGCAAAUCGAUCGUCAAAUUUGGGCAUAGGG
rnacentral:rRNA from 1 species